rnacentral:rRNA from 1 species
UACGGAGGGUGCAAGCGCUAUCCGGAUUUAUUGGGUUUAAAGGGUGCGUAGGCGGUUGGAUAAGUCAGUGGUGAAAUCCUGCAGCUCAACUGUAGAACAGCCAUUGAAACUGUCUGACUUGAGUGAUCUUGAGGUAGGCGGAAUGUGUAGUGUAGCGGUGAAAUGCUUAGAUAUUACACAGAACACCGAUUGCGAAGGCAGCUUACUAAGGGUUUACUGACGCUGAUGCACGAAAGCGUGGGGAUCAAACAGG